rnacentral:rRNA from 1 species
UGGGGAAUAUUGGACAAUGGGCGAAAGCCUGAUCCAGCCAUGCCGCGUGUGUGAAGAAGGUCUUCGGAUUGUAAAGCACUUUAAGUUGGGAGGAAGGGCAGUCAGCGAAUACCUUGCUGUCUUGACGUUACCGACAGAAUAAGCACCGGCUAACUCUGUGCCAGCAGCCGCGGUAAUACGGAGGGUGCAAGCGUUAUCCGGAUUCACUGGGUUUAAAGGGUGCGUAGGCGGGUUGGUAAGUCCGUGGUGAAAUCCCCAAGCUUAACUUGGGAACUGCCGUGGAUACUAUCAAUCUUGAAUAUCGUGGAGGUAAGCGGAAUAUGUCAUGUAGCGGUGAAAUGCUUAGAUAUGACAUAGAACACCAAUUGCGUAGGCAGCUUACUACACGAUCAUUGACGCUGAGGCACGAAAGCGUGGGGAGCAAACAGGAUUAGAUACCC